rnacentral:rRNA from 1 species
AUUUCUUCGCCCAUAUCAAGUUUCUGAUGGUUAGGAUCACGAGGCCUGUACCAUCGCUUUGUUACAGGGUAACGGCGAAUUAGAGGUUCGAUUCCGGAGAGGGAGCCUGAGAAACGGCUACCAUAUCUAAGGAAGGCAGCAGGCGCGCAAAUUACCCAAUCCUGAUUCAGGGAGGUAGUGACAAUAAAUAACAAUCCAGGACUUCGGUCUUGGAAUUGGAAUGAGAACAAUUUAAAUCUCUUAUCGAGGAACAAUUGGAGGGCAAGUCUGGUGCCAGCAGCCGCGGUAAUUCCAGCUCCAAUAGCGUAUAUUAAAGUUGUUGCAGUUAAAUAGCUCGUAGUUGAAUCUUGGGGCUGGUUUGGCGGUCGCGUCUUUGACGUGUACU